rnacentral:rRNA from 1 species
ACGCUCGACACCUACGGUAGGCAGCAGUGGGGAAUAUUGCACAAUGGGGGAAACCCUGAUGCAGCGACGCCGCGUGGAGGAAGAAGGUCUUCGGAUUGUAAACUCCUGUUGUUGGGGAAAAAGAGGAUGGUACCCAACAAGGAAGUGACGGCUAACUACGUGCCAACAGCCGCGGUAAUCUGAGCGGGCUGGCAAGGC